rnacentral:lncRNA from 1 species
CACGCGGCGCGUGAUCAAGUCAGAGAGCAAUCUUCUUUUUGAACAAGGCUUCACGCCGCGCGUGGUCAGGUAUCACGCGGCGCGUAAUCAGAGUGAAAAUCAAAGCUCCCUGUGAUCUCCAUCACGCGGCGCGUGAUGGGCUACGCCCCCAGCGUAGUGAAAAUCCUCCAUUUCCUGCAAUUUUUCCUGUUUUCUUGCAAAACAAGUAAUCAAGCUUAUGGUUAGAUUUCUCUUAUAUUUAUUGCUAAAAACCUACUAAAAUGCAUCUAAUGUUGCUAAAAUAGGCCUGGAUUAGAGAGUGUGACGAUUCGUCAUCAA